GACGAACGCUGGCGGCGUGCUUAACACAUGCAAGUCGAACGGAAAGGCCCUGCUUUUGUGGGGUGCUCGAGUGGCGAACGGGUGAGUAACACGUGAGUAACCUGCCCUUGACUUUGGGAUAACUUCAGGAAACUGGGGCUAAUACCGGAUAGGAGCUCCUGCUGCAUGGUGGGGGUUGGAAAGUUUCGGCGGUUGGGGAUGGACUCGCGGCUUAUCAGCUUGUGGGUGGGGUAGUGGCUUACCAAGGCUUUGACGGGUAGCCGGCCUGAGAGGGUGACCGGGCUCCAGAGGACUACGAGAGGGAGCAGAGGGCAACGUGAGGCAGCAGGCGAGAGUAUGGUACAACCAGCGGGAGUGUGAUAAGGAGGUCUUCGGAGUGGGAUGCCCGUUUACGGGGGAUGAAGCGCAUUAGGCUGAGACCAUGCGGGAGUGACGGUAAUGACAAAAGAAGCACCGGCUAACUACGUG
rnacentral:rRNA from 1 species